rnacentral:rRNA from 1 species
UGGGGAAUUUUGGACAAUGGGGGAAACCCUGAUCCAGCCAUCCCGCGUGUGCGAUGAAGGCCUUCGGGUUGUAAAGAACUUUUGGCAGGAAAGAAACGUCAUGGGUUAAUACCCCGUGAAACUGACGGUACCUGCAGAAUAAGCACCGGCUAACUACGUGCCAGCAGCCGCGGUAAUACGUAGGGUGCAAGCGUUAAUCGGAAUUACUGGGCGUAAAGCGUGCGCAGGCGGUUCGGAAAGAAAGAUGUGAAAUCCCAGAGCUCAACUUUGGAACUGCAUUUUUAACUACCGGGCUAGAGUGUGUCAGAGGGAGGUGGAAUUCCGCGUGUAGCAGUGAAAUGCGUAGAUAUGCGGAGGAACACCGAUGGCGAAGGCAGCCUCCUGGGAUAACACUGACGCUCAUGCACGAAAGCGUGGGGAGCAAACAGG